GAUCCAGUGUGAAAAACUCCGGUGGUACAGGAUGGACCCGCGUCUGAUUAGCUGGUUGGUGAGGUAACGGCCCACCAAGGCAACGAUCAGUAGCCGGCCUGAGAGGGUGAACGGCCACAUUGGGACUGAGACACGGCCCAAACUCCUACGGGAGGCAGCAGUGGGGAAUAUUGCACAAUGGGGGAAACCCUGAUGCAGCGACGCCGCGUGAGUGAAGAAGUAUUUCGGUAUGUAAAGCUCUAUCAGCAGGGAAGAUAAUGACGGUACCUGACUAAGAAGCACCGGCUAAAUACGUGCCAGCAGCCGCGGUAAUACGUAUGGUGCAAGCGUUAUCCGGAUUUACUGGGUGUAAAGGGAGCGCAGGCGGUGCGGCAAGUCUGAUGUGAAAGCCCGGGGCUCAACCCCGGUACUGCAUUGGAAACUGUCGUACUAGAGUGUCGGAGGGGUAAGCGGAAUUCCUAGUGUAGCGGUGAAAUGCGUAGAUAUUAGGAGGAACACCAGUGG
rnacentral:rRNA from 1 species